rnacentral:rRNA from 1 species
UACGAAGGGGGUUAGCGUUGCUCGGAAUCACUGGGCGUAAAGGGUGCGUAGGCGGGUCUUUUAAGUCAGGGGUGAAAUCCUGGAGCUCAACUCCAGAACUGCCUUUGAUACUGAGGAUCUUGAGUACGGGAGAGGUGAGUGGAACUGCGAGUGUAGAGGUGAAAUUCGUAGAUAUUCGCAAGAACACCAGUGGCGAAGGCGGCUCACUGGCCCGUAACUGACGCUGAGGCACGAAAGCGUGGGGAGCAAACAGG